rnacentral:misc_RNA from 1 species
GAUGAAGAACGUAGCGAAAUGCGAUACGUAAUGUGAAUUGCAGAAUUCAGUGAAUCAUCGAAUCUUUGAACGCAUAUUGCGCUCUCUGGUAUUCCGGAGAGCAUGCUUGUUUGAGUAUCAGUAAACACCUCAACUUCCAUAUCUUUUUUGAAAUGGGAGUUGGACUUGAGUGAUCCCAACGCUUUUCCUCACCGAAAAGUGGCGGGUUACUUGAAAUGCAGGUGCAGCUGGACUUUUCUCUGAGCUAUAAGCAUAUCUAUUUAGUCUGCCUAAAAAACAGAUUAUUACCUUUGCUGCAGCUAACAUAGAGGAGAUUAGUUCUUGUGCUGACUGAUGCAGGAUUCACAAAGACAGGCUUCGGCCGACUUUGUAAACUCGAUCUCAAAUCAAGUAAGACUACCCGCUGAACUUAAGCAUAUCAAUAAGCGGAGGA